CCCCGACCCCACGGGCGCCCGAGGCAUCGGGCUGAGAUCGCGCUGGAGCCUGCGCGAGGACCGGAUGAACCUGUCUGGUUAGCACCAGCGUAGGAAGAGAGGCCGAACAUGCGU
rnacentral:ncRNA from 1 species